UACGUAGGGGGCAAGCGUUGUCCGGAUUUAUUGGGCGUAAAGAGCGUGUAGGCGGCCAAGCAGGUCCGCUGUGAAAACUCGAGGCUCAACCUCGAGACGUCGGUGGAAACCGUUUGGCUAGAGUCCGGAAGAGGAGAGUGGAAUUCCCGGUGUAGCGGUGAAAUGCGCAGAUAUCAGGAGGAACACCGAUUGCGAAGGCAGCUCGCUGGGACGUAACUGACGCUGAGACGCGAAAGCGUGGGGAGCAAACAGG
rnacentral:rRNA from 1 species